UUGAACGCUGGCGGCAUGCUUUACACAUGCAAGUCGCACGGUAACAGGCCUUCGGGUGCUGACGAGUGGCGAACGGGUGAGUAAUGCAUCGGAACGUACCCAGAGGUGGGGGAUAACGCAGCGAAAGCUGUGCUAAUACUGCAUGUGAUCUGAGGAUGAAAGCGGGGGACCGAGCAGCAAUGUUUGGCCUCGCGCCUUUGGAGCGGCCGAUGUCGGAUUAGCUAGUUGGUGGGGUAAAGGCCUACCAAGGCGACGAUCCGUAGCUGGUCUGAGAGGACGACCAGCCACACUGGGACUGAGACACGGCCCAGACUCCUACGGGAGGCAGCAGUGGGGAAUUUUGGACAAUGGGCGCAAGCCUGAUCCAGCAAUGCCGCGUGCGGGAAGAAGGCCUUCGGGUUGUAAACCGCUUUUGGCAGGAACGAAACGGUGUCCGCUAAUACCGGGCGCUAAUGACGGUACCUGCAGAAUAAGCACCGGCUAACUACGUG
rnacentral:rRNA from 1 species